GAAGAAAGAAGAGAAGAAGAAGAACUCUCUUCUUUAUAUUUCUUUUUCUGUUUCUUUUUCGAUGUUUUU
rnacentral:ribozyme from 13 species